AUGAAGACUACAAAGAAGUGCAAACUGUCAGACUGGAUGAAAGCCGAAAUGAAUAAUUCAUUUUUGGAUGCAUUAGGCUGUAGCACACAGGCAACUGAAGAGGAAGAUGAUUACUUAGUUUAUGAUGGAGAUAUUGGAAUAAGCUGUAAAUAUAACAAUAAUUCAGGUAAUUUAAAUGCCUGUAGUUGUACAAAAGAUAUUUCUGGUAUUUUAAACUUAGCCUGUUCUGAAGAGAACAAAAACAUAAAAGCAGCAGCCAAUUAUGAAACUCCUCUACUGCCUGAAGAAUUCUCCAGUCAUCACAGAGGCACCAGAGGAACAACUGGAGUUCCAACUGAAAUGCCUGGAAAUGAAGCUUCCUUUCAGAAGGAAUUACCUGCUGGUAGUUCCAGUAAACCAGAUAGCAAAGAACAUGUAACUACCUCCAAGAUGUCCAAGGUCCUCCUGCGUCAUUUUCCUAGGGAGGAAUUACUAAGCACAUGCCACUUAAUUGAAUGUGAGACAAUACCAGAGGUGUCCUUUACUGAAAGUAUCGAUGACACUGGGAGCAAACCGGAGCCUUCAGAACACAGCAAAGGCUCUUCAGUGUAUGAACAAUGGGCAGCGAGCUCUGAGGAGCAUCCCUUAGAAAAGCACAAAGAAGUAAAGGGUUCUGACAAAAAUAGAUCUGUUUCAAAGAAACCUAUUUUUUCUUCUAGUCAGUGUGGGUGCAGACAAGAACACUCACAACUGAUUAAUGAGACUGAAGAUACACACACCUUUCAAAAUAUGAAAGAUGAGAGAACCCUGUUUAAGAGAACAGUUUCACCUUGUCACCUCAAAUUUGACCAAGGGCAAGCUCACUAUUGCCUUCCUGACUUCUCUGAAGUUGCUUCAGAAGUUCAAGUACCAAAAAAACCUGACAAUAUUACCUCAGUUCCUUCAACUGAGAGAGCAAAACCCUUUCCUGUUUUGCAAAGUAAAUCAGUAACUGUGAACAAUAUUUUGGAAAGUAAGAAUUACUUCAAUUCUGCUGAAGAAGAGAAUCAAGAAGAAAGGAGUAUUUCAGAACUGCUCCAACAGCUACAGGUAAUU
rnacentral:lncRNA from 1 species